GAUGAACGCUGGCGGCGUGCCUAAUACAUGCAAGUCGAGCGAACGGACGAGAAGCUUGCUUCUCUGAUGUUAGCGGCGGACGGGUGAGUAACACGUGGAUAACCUACCUAUAAGACUGGGAUAACUUCGUGAAACCGUAGCUAAUACCGGAUAAUAUUUUGAACCGCAUGGUUCAAAAGUGAAAGACGGUCUUGCUGUCACUUAUAGAUGGAUCCGCGCUGCAUUAGCUAGUUGGUAAGGUAACGGCUUACCAAGUCAACGAUGCAUAGCCGACCUGAGAGGGUGAUCGGCCACACUGGAACUGAGACACGGUCCAGACUCCUACGGGAGGCAGCAGUAGGGAAUCUUCCGCAAUGGGCGAAAGCCUGACGGAGCAACGCCGCGUGAGUGAUGAAGGUCUUCGGAUCGUAAAACUCUGUUAUUAGGGAAGAACAUAUGUGUAAGUAACUGUGCACAUCUUGACGGUACCUAAUCAGAAAGCCACGGCUAACUACGUG
rnacentral:rRNA from 1 species